UGGCUGCUUGUCACUCACUCUCAAAAUGUCUCCAAGUCUCAGACUCUCUCAAUUGAUAAAUACAAUACAAUCUGUCACCCCUUGGCAGUUGCUGUAGCCUGUAGAGAGCCACUGAAUACACUUGGGGGGGCUUUUAAUAUAGGAGAAGGAGAGAGCAAAUGAGUCGGUGACUCGCCCUUACCGCGGUGGGUGGGCAUAGCCGCAUAAGCAUAACCACGGUUUCAUGCCCAUAAUAAUAUAGUUGGAGCCAAGGUGGGUCCCACUAUGUCAAGAGGCGAAGAGUCUCCGAGCAUUGAGGUGGCAGGAUCUGGGUGUGAGCGCCUCCACCGUGCUUUGUGCGACUGCCACCGCCGCGUCCCGCCGGGGCCACCGCGAGAUGUUGCUUGCCGCCACCUGAACCGCUCACUCGCCGAUUGCCUCGUUUCUAUUGCUUGCCCUGCGGAGAUGGACGCUGUGCGAAGCCUCUGCUCCAGCAGUGGAACCCCUCUCAAGCGUUCUCAGUGCCAAGAAGCUAAACUCGCCCUUUCUAUCUGUCUCUCCUCCCAUCAGAACCCAUAGAUCCUAACCCAUAUCAUAUAGAUUUCAGUUUCAGAAUCUGAAUUGUUCAAAUUUCGCCAUGGAAUUGUUAGAGAGAAGCGAGUUCAAGUGUUUCUGAGGAAAAAUUAUUCUGUACGUUUCAGGAACUUGAAAUUUGCUAAGCUUGGGUUUGCUGGGAGAUGAUAUCGUGCAUUCACUGGUGGUUGGAGUCUGGUGCAACCUCAGUGGAAAAUUGAAGAUUGUCUUAUGAUUUUGGUCUGUAAUUAUAUUUUAUGAUUACAUUAUUCAUGAAUAAUUUUUUUUCCCCUCUUCAAAUAGUUCUUUCUGCAGGGAGAUAAAGAACACUGCUUGGACGGAUCUUGUUGUCUGAUUGACAAGAAUUAUAUACUUUCUAAUGAAGCCAUGACCAAUUUGGUACAAA